rnacentral:rRNA from 1 species
CGGGAACCGUGAGACAGGUGCUGCAUGGCUGUCGUCAGCUCGUGUUGUGAAAUGUUGGGUUAAGUCCCGCAACGAGCGCAACCCUUAUCCUUUGUUGCCAGCGGUUAGGCCGGGAACUCAAAGGAGAAUCGAGGUUGACGGCGACCAGUGAAAAAUUGAUCGGGGCGCUUUGCUGCA